rnacentral:rRNA from 1 species
AGUACUCGAGUGGCGAACGGGUGAGUAACACGUGGGUGAACUGCCCUGCACUUCGGGAUAAGCCUGGGAAACUGGGUCUAAUACCGGAUAGGAGCCAUUUUUAGUGUGAUGGUUGGAAAGUUUUUUCGGUGUAGGAUGAGCUCGCGGCCUAUCAGCUUGUUGGUGGGGUAAUGGCCUACCAAGGCGGCGACGGGUAGCCGGCCUGAGAGGGUGGACGGCCACAUUGGGACUGAGAUACGGCCCAG